CCCAGGCUUCUGAGGGAUAGAACCCGGGGGCUGGGAGGGAAGCCUUAAGGAGGGUCCACCACCUUUAACAGCUGCUCCUAGUCACUGCUUCUGUGGGAAGUGACACAUUCUGACUCUAGUGGCCUGUGGCUACGAAGGUGUGUGUGUGUGUGUGUGUGUGUGUGUGUGUGUGUGUGUGUGUGUGUGUAUGGUGGGGGGCGGGGGGAUCAUAAGUCUCAGCAACUGUUAGCGAUCUCCUUUCCAGAGGUCAGGCUGGAAGCUCUGUCCUGCCCGUGAACGAAUAACCACUACUUGGGGCGGCUGGUGGCCCAAAAUAGACACGGAACUUCCUACCUAAGGCAAAGGCCUGUGUGGACACGAAGAGCCCCACCUGUACAGGUGUAAGGAUGUGGGGCUGCUUUGGACGGUCUGUAGCAGCUGACUACGAUUUGCCUCAUGCUCUAACAGAGGCAUAGUUUUGCCAGCUACAAGUGGAAUCUCAAUGUGGGACUCAAAAGUUAAGGAUAAAAAUGGGAAAUCCAAUUUCAAAUGCUGUAGAGAAAAA